UCCGGUUUGACACCGGCAGUCCCCUUAGAGUCCCCGGCAUAACCCGCUGGUAACUAAGGGCAAAGGUUUCGCUCGUUAAGGGACUUAACCCGACAUCUCACGACACGAGCUGACGACAGCCAUGCAGCACCUGUACUAGUUGUACCCCUUGCGGGGCCUACUCGACUUUCAUCGAGAUAAUCCUAGCGAGUCAAACCCAGGUAAGGUUCUGCGCGUUGCUUCGAAUUGAACCACAUGCUCCACCGCUUGUGUGAGCCCCCGUCAAUUUCUUUGAGUUUUAGCCUUGCGACCGUACUUCCCAGGCGGUCGACUUAGCACUUUUGCUACGACCGCAACACCGUCAAGGCGCUGCGAUCUAGUCGACAUCGUUUAUGGCCAGGACUA
rnacentral:misc_RNA from 1 species